rnacentral:misc_RNA from 1 species
UUGCGGUACUGUGUUACGGGUGGCCACACGCACUUUCAUCGGCACAAACGCUUACAAGCGCCCCCACGCCGGUCUUCGGUCGCUGAUCUCUCUCCCGCACCACCACCCCAUCCUACCUAAGCCCUCUGUGCGGUAGAGAAAGCGUGCGCCUGCGUGUGUGCUCCUUCCGUUGUGUGCCACGCCCCACCUCCACCACGCCCUUGUAUCAUUCCUCGCCUGAAUCUCUCUCGCCGCUCUCUGGCCGACGCAGUGCUGAAGAAAAGCGCCGUCCUUUGCCGUUGCGUCUUGGCUUCCGUGCCUCGCCAUACACUCACGCACACACACACACACACACACACACGACGACAGCAUCGCACAGGCAGAGAACCACGCGGGCACGCACAGGGAGGGAUAGCGACACCAGAGGAGCAGCGCAGAGAGGCGCAUACGCAGUCAGGUCAACGCGCAGGCACACGCAAGGAGGAGCUGCAGCGUCCCCCGCUGCCCCUUCGGUGUCCCAGAAGUCUGUUUCCCGUCGGCGCUCCACCACAGCGCACCUGCCUUCCCUCAGUGAAGCAGCGACGGAAUAUGGAGGCGGCGUUGACGGAGCUCAAGAACGAGGGCAACGCGCAGUUUGCGUCCGGCAACGCUAGGGGCGCGAUUGAGACCUACAAGAAAGGCAUUCACCUCAUCGAAGCCGAUGCAGGUCAGCAGCAGAAGCAGCAGCAGGAUUUCAAGGCCGUGGGAGUGUCGGCCACGUCCUUGACGACAUCUGAGGAGGCGCGGAGAUUACACGUGCUGCUCUACUCGAACAUGUCGAACGCGUACUUAAGCCUGUGUGAUUUCCGCGAGAGCUGGGAGAUGGCUGCAGCGGCGACGAGACUCGACCCGCAUGCUUGGAAGCCGUGGAUGCGCUUUAUCGAGGCUCGCCGUCGCGGCGGCUUCCCGUUCGACGCCCUUGUGCACUCGUUGCAAUACUUGCGGCCACUCCUGCGCGCGGAACGGGAGCAGAGGCGCAUGACGGCGGCCGAAGCGAUAGCGACUCUUGACGCCAUCGAGGCUCCGCUGUGUGAUGAGUUGGGACUGCUCCGCCUCUCACCGGACAUCGAGCUCGUCGAGUACGCUGGCGGCGUGGCGCUGAUCAGCCGCCGCCAGUUCCAGCCGAAGGAUGUGAUCUUUGUGGAGCACAAGUACACCAGGAUCAACUUCGAGGAAAGCGAGAUGAGCACGCAGUCUGACCUCACCACGGAGUCGAUUGUGGGGUACUUCGCAGAGCGCCUGCGUCCUGAGCAGGCUGUGGCGAGUAAGCGUUGGUGCGACUUCAAGAAAGAUUUCACAGGUGCAUGGCCGCGCAGCGACGACGACGUCGACGUCGACACCCGCGAGACCAUAAGCAGCCACCUACGCACCCGCUUCCCCGACGUUGCCGAGGACGACUUCCGUGAGCUGCUCAGCACCGCUCUCAUGUGUCGCUUCAACUGCUUCCACUCGGGGUUCUUCCGCACCUGCGCCCUGGCGAACCACAGCUGCCACGCCAACAUCGCCAUGAAGUAUAGCAGCGUGGAGGAGACGGUCAAAAUGAUCGCUGUCGACAUCAUCCAGCCCGGUGAGCUCAUGAAUGUGAAGUACCUCAGCGACGCACACUUCCUGCUUGGUGUAGGCAAGCGCCGAGAGCUGCUGCGCUCCUGGCUCUUCUGGUGCCAGUGCGACCGUUGCCUGCGAGAUAGCCAGGCCACGGCACUCUCGGAGUUCGUUGAGUGUUCUGCUUGCGGUGCCUUUUCGCACUCCGCCCUGAUGGGCUUCAACCCUGCCUCUGAUCCGCUGCUCCAGGCUAGGGAAGCAUGUUGCGCGUGCAGCGCGGACAUGGUGUGGCCACCAGAGCAGCGUGACCUCCUCCAGAAGGAGCUCAUGCACACGUUCACAAGCAGCACAUCUUACUACACCCCCACCGAGCUCGCUGAGUGGAUGCACACGCAGCUCGAGAUGACGGAGAGGUUGCGGCUGCACCCCGAGCACUGGAUCUACCGCGCCCUCUUCUACUUUUUCGCUGUGGCGCUAACCGCAAUGGUCGAUCGCGUCAGCGCGGGGCUGAGCGAGCCGCGUAUCUCGCAGUUCGUGGUGGACGAGAUGAAGCACCUUUUCGGGGCCUGUGGCCUGCAGACAUACUACCUUCCCCGCUGCGCUGCCGCACGCGCGAAAGCCGGCGCGGCGAAGCACAUGGCUGGCGUGGUGGCAGUGGACGAAGUGGUGUGCACCAGCAGCGACAGCGGCGGCGGCUGCGAGUUUCUCAAGAGCCUUAUCAUUCUCUGGGAACUGCUGGUGCCCUUCUACCCUGUGAACGAGAUGUGGUCCGUCAACGACGCCAUCUGCAAGUUGGUGCUGCUGCACUUGGUGUACCCUACACCAGCGCCGUCCCUGGCCCCGUCGCUGGCGCUGAGGCUGCUCCAGCGGCACGGUAGCUAUGUCGGGGACGUCAACGCUGCAAAGUGGCUCCACAGCUAUAGCGUGCACCGGACCACCUUCAAUGCAAAGGAGCCGCUGCCGCUAACGAAGGUGAAGAAAGCCUUCAAGGGUGGAUGACUGCGGACCGUUAACCUGUCCACGUGCGCUGCAGCAUGCGCGCGCACACACGCGGGCGGGGGAGCGAUAUCUGGUAAUGAGGGCAAACGGCGUGAUUACAGCCUUCGCCUCCCUGGUGCGUCUGCGUCUUUGCGCCGGUGCAUGCAGCCUGCGUAUACACGGAUAUAGAUCUGUGUGUGUUCGCGCAUGAGCAUUCCUCGCCUCUCCCCUGAUGGCAGAGGCGAGGGCACCUUACACGGUGCGCGGUGUCGCAGGGUCCAGCGCCUACGGGGCAGGGGGAGGUGAGUGCGAUGUUGUAUCGCUGCUGAUGCGCGCGGUCAGGUCCUGUAGAGGGGGGAGGGGGCGGUGCUGCGUCGGAGCGUCCUGCUACAGCGCACACGCUGGUGCCAUCUGUGUGUUGGGCAGUGUGUGUGCGUGACUCGAGCCUAUCUCGCCUGGACCUCACCGCCCAUUGGUGGGGAGGCCGAGUGUCAUCCCGAGGAACAUAGCAGGCGGCCGCCUGCGGACCGGGUAUGGGGGUGGGCAGGCCUUGAGGCAGGGGCCGAGCGGCGUUUGGCCUCGUGUUGUACGGCAGGGCGGCGAUGGCACAUGUUUACAUACCUGCGAAAAGAAGUUUCGACCUGUUUCUUCUGGCUGCCGUGGUGGUUGUGGUGGUUGUCGGCACCGUAGCUCCGCACUGUCGCGCGCCCUCUUCCUCGGUGUCUUUAAGUGGUUUUUUAUUCUGAUAAGUGCCUUUGACGUGCCCAUCCCUGAGAUGUGCGCAGGGCAUGCGUACACGCAAAUUCAUGCCCACGCACCUAGGCGCAGGUCUCUGUUCUCCGUUGCCCGUCAAUCCUACCCUCCACUCAUUGGGACCUCUCUCUCUCUCCUACCCCCUUCUUUUCUGUCGUCCUCUCCGCCCUAUCCCCUUACACAUCUUCGGCUUGUUGUUUGGCAG